GACGAACGCUGGCGGCGUGCUUAACACAUGCAAGUCGUACGGUAAGGCCCUUUCGUGGUUACACGAGUGGCGAACGGGUGAGUAACACGUGAGUAACCUGCCCACAACUUUGGGAUAACGUUAGUAAACUGGUGCUAAGACUGUAUAUGUUCUCUUGCUGCAUGGUGGGGGUUGGAAAGCUCCGGGGGGUGUGGAUGGACUCGCGGCCUAUCAGCUUGUGGGUGGGGUAGUGGCCUACCAAGGCGGCGACGGGUAGCCGGCCUGAGAGGGUGACCGACCACAUUGGGACUGAGAUACGGCCCAGACUCCUAAGGGAGGCAGCAGGGGGGAAUAUUGCACAAUGGGCGCAAGCCUGAUGCAGAAACGCCGCGGGCGGGAUGACGGCCUUCGGGUUGAAAACCGCGUUCAGCAGGGACGAAGCUUUUUGUGACGGUACCUGCAGAAGAAGCACCGGCUAACUACGUG
rnacentral:rRNA from 1 species